GACUAACGCUAGCGGCAGGCAUAAUACAUGCAAGUUGAACGGGAUAAGUUUAGCAAUAAACUUUGAGAGUGGCGCACGGGUGCGUAACACGUAUGCAACCUACCCGAUACAGGGGGAUAGCCUCUCGAAAGAGAGAUUAAUACCCCAUAACAUAGAGUAUAGGCAUCUAUAUUUUAUCAAAGUUCCGACGGUAUCGGAUAGGCAUACGGUUGAUUAGCUAGUUGGUGAGGUAACGGCUCACCAAGGCGACGAUCAAUAGGGGGUCUGAGAGGAUGUCCCCCCACACUGGUACUGAGACACGGACCAGACUCCUACGGGAGGCAGCAGUAGGGAAUAUUGGUCAAUGGGGGCAACCCUGAACCAGCCAUGCCGCGUGCAGGAAGACUGCCCUAUGGGUUGUAAACUGCUUUUGUACGGGAAGAAAUGUCACUAUGCGUAGUGAUUUGACGGUACCGUAAGAAUAAGGAUCGGCUAACUUCGUGCCAGCCGCCGCAGUAAUAC
rnacentral:rRNA from 1 species